GAGAGGGAGAGAGCGGCCGACGGUGACUUCAAAAGUCGCUGAGGAAAGUCCCCCCACCCACCGGGCACGCAGCCGUACGCAAGUACGGGUGGCGAGAGUCACGGCAAUGGCACAGAAACGACACGGCCUGUUUUCAGUGAUGAUGCGGUUGAGCCGGCAUAAGGCAAGAAGCAGGGUUUCCCUGCGAGUAACCCGCUGAGCGUUCACAGACAGGAUACGGUGAAACGGCGAAUCCCUGCGGGUGCAAGCCAGAACAGGACAAUUCGGACGCCCGGUUUCCGUCCGGGUUUGGCGCAUAGCCGAAUGCCGCUAAAACAAAAGGAGGCUUACUCCUCCCACUC
rnacentral:RNase_P_RNA from 1 species